AUGGGUGGGGUGCAAGCAGCCAACUUGGACUAUGGGGCACCUGCCCUGAGAAUCCCCCAGGGAGCACAGCUAAGUGUGGACCCGCAGAGUGUGCCCUGGGAGGUGUCCGAUUCUGGACGGGGCGGGGGGGGGGGGGGGGCCCGGGAGCCGGCCUUGCUCUGCUCUCCCGCGGGCAAGCCUCCACGGAGCCCCCGGCACCCUGGCGCUUCUGGGGACCAGCACGGAGUCCCUUCCGUUGGCGGCCCUGGGGCUGCGGGAGGGUCUUCAAGACUGAAGGGGAGUGCGGUGGGGUGGGGGGGCCGCCUUGGUCCUCCCUGCUCGUCCCCAGGUGAGUGACUGGCUCACCCAGGUGAGUUAUGGCUCAAAGGUAUAAUUGUUGGGAGAAAUUUGCCCCAAGACAGCGCAGCAGGAGGGCUGGCCGGGGGUCAGGGUCCCCCGCAAGCCUCUGCCCUAGGUGUGAGCUGGGGGGGAUGCAGGGCUCAGUCCUGGCAUCUCAGCAGCGAGUCCCCGCAAAAACCAGCUGAUGUCCUGGGGGCAGAGCCGGCCGCUGACCCCUGGGCCACUCGCCCACUGUGGGGUGGCCGUCGUGUUACGCUGGCCGGCUGUGCGCCCGCUCCGGCAGGAGGUCUGCCGUGGCCUUGAAGCGGGUCCGUGCAGCGGAGGGGCCCCGUGAGUGACCACCCGGCGGCUGAGCCAGGAGAGCAGCCCGAGGGGCGCGUCACCCACUGAGGACCAGCCCGUCACCCAGGAGCGGCCCCUGUCACCGCCUCCUGGCCGGGCUGCUGGCUGCACGGAGCCCCAGGGAC
rnacentral:lncRNA from 12 species